rnacentral:tRNA from 1 species
GUCAGGGUAGCUCAACCGGUUAGAGCGCCACACUCAUAACGUGGAGGUUGAGAGUUCGAGUCUCUCCCUUGACA